GCUGGAGUAGCUCAGCCGGUAGAGCGACUGAUUCGUAAUCAGUAGGUCGUGGGUUCAAGUCCCAUCCCCAGCU
rnacentral:tRNA from 1 species